rnacentral:rRNA from 1 species
GAUGAACGCUGGCGGCGUGCCUAAUACAUGCAAGUCGAGCGAACAGACGAGGAGCUUGCUCCUCUGACGUUAGCGGCGGACGGGUGAGUAACACGUGGAUAACCUACCUAUAAGACUGGGAUAACUUCGGGAAACCGGAGCUAAUACCGGAUAAUAUAUUGAACCGCAUGGUUCAAUAGUGAAAGACGGUUUUGCUGUCACUUAUAGAUGGAUCCGCGCCGCAUUAGCUAGUUGGUAAGGUAAAGGCUUACCAAGGCAACGAUGCGUAGCCGACCUGAGAGGGUGAUCGGCCACACUGGAACUGAGACACGGUCCAGACUCCUACGGGAGGCAGCAGUAGGGAAUCUUCCGCAAUGGGCGAAAGCCUGACGGAGCAACGCCGCGUGAGUGAUGAAGGUCUUCGGAUCGUAAAACUCUGUUAUUAGGGAAGAACAAAUGUGUAAGUAACUAUGCACGUCUUGACGGUACCUAAUCAGAAAGCCACGGCUAACUACGUG